rnacentral:rRNA from 1 species
AUACGUAGGGGGCGAGCGUUGUCCGGAAUGAUUGGGCGUAAAGGGCGCGUAGGCGGCCCGGUAAGUCUGGAGUGAAAGUCCUGUUUUUAAGAUGGGAAUUGCUUUGGAUACUGAUGGGCUUGAGUGCAGGAGAGGUUAUCGGAAUUCCCGGUGUAGCGGUGAAAUGCGUAGAGAUCGGGAGGAACACCAGUGGCGAAGGCGGGUAACUGGACUGCAACUGACGCUGAGGCGCGAAAGUGUGGGGAGCAAACAGGAUUAGAUACCCUGGUAGUCCACACUGUAAACGAUGAAUGCUAGGUGUAAGAGGUAUCGACCCCUUUUGUGCCGGAGUUAACACAAUAAGCAUUCCGCCUGGGGAGUACGGCCGCAAGGUUGAAACUCAAAGGAAUUGACGGGG